rnacentral:lncRNA from 1 species
UAGAAGGUUCCAUCCGGUCUGCCCCAUUGGGAGUUACUGUUUCACAGGGCAUCUUCUCUCGCAGACAUGAGUGCUCAUUUUCUACUGUUAGAUGUUAAAGGGCAAGGACGUCACUGUUGCUUCAAGGAAAAGACAGAAGAUUGAGGUGUGGGUGCAGAAUUAUCUAAAACGCAACAAAACAAAGUAUUUGUGCAAGAAAAAUAAUCUGUACAUUUACAUUUUUUCUAAGUUUGCUUCAGUAUAAAAAAAA